UACGUAGGGCGCAAGCGUUAUCCGGAAUUACUGGGCGUAAAGCGUGCGCAGGCGGUUUUGUAAGUCUGUCGUGAAAGCCCCGGGCUCAACCUGGGAAUUGCGAUGGAGACUGCAAGGCUUGAAUCUGGCAGAGGGGGGGUAGAAUUCCACGUGUAGCAGUGAAAUGCGUAGAGAUGUGGAGGAACACCGAUGGCGAAGGCAGCCCCCUGGGUCAAGAUUGACGCUCAUGCACGAAAGCGUGGGGAGCAAACAGG
rnacentral:rRNA from 1 species